AAAAAGAUAAGCUAAAUAAGCUAAUGGGCUCAUACCCCUUUUAUAAAGGCAUUAAUCCUUUUCUUUUUA
rnacentral:tRNA from 1 species